rnacentral:ncRNA from 1 species
CAGGAUUCCUAAAACGAUAAUUGGGCGCUUAUAGGGAAAACUUAUAAGUGGAUCUGCUCAAAGUCGGGGAAAGCUUCAUGGCCAAUGCCAUAUGCCAAUCCCGAGCCAAGCCUUAUAAAACUCGAAUGUUUUAAAUGUCAUUUAUAACGUUCUUUUUAUAAGGAAGGUGUAGAGACUGGACGGGCAGCACCUAAAGGGAAACCACCCCUCCCUAUGGUGAAGGGACAGUCCAGACCACAAACGGCUAU